UGUUGAACAGCAGGUUAAAGAGGAAACAGACCACAGAGCCAUGCAUAUGCCAAUCUAGUGUUAUGACAGAAAGGGAAAACUGAACCAGAAGGUUGGGCUUUUUGUUGAUUUGUUUAUUUAAUUUUUAAAUUUUUUUUUGUCUUUCAUUUUUAUCUUGAAGUGGAGUAAGAAAGGCUCUACUAAGAUUAUAUUGAACUCACAAUUUUCAAAGUCUUAUAUUUUAGGGAAAGUCUAAGAAAACCAUCUGCCAGCUAUGUCUUUCGACUAACAACCAUAAUUUAUUGGUGUAGCCUUGAGUCUGAUCGUUAGCCCACAGCACUUUCAUGGGGGUGGAGUAGGGCUGGGUGACGUUGGACCAGAGGAGAGUCAUGUCUGUCAGAUGGCCCUGGUAUAAGGGAACAAGGGCUGGUUUAAACAACUCUGGAGUAGUGUUGGAAUAGCAUGGAUUUCAGCCUAGAAACGGAUUUCUUUGUAGAUGCUGUCAUGAGGAAGGAGAUUAUGGAAAACAAUGAUUAUAGUCAACUGGAAUGAGCAAGAGGAGUCCUGUGUCCACAACGACUGCUCAGAAGGACCAGAAAGUACCAUGUAUGCUGCCAAGCAGGAAAGAAAUCAACAGUGUGAUUCAGCUGUGACACCUUUGGACUAUGACAAUGACCAGCAUGGCGAGAUACCUAUAAAGAUUUAAAACAUGACGAAGAGUUUGGAGGACAGUGAUAAUCUAUGGACCCAUACAGAUCUGUCAAGAGGAAGCAGUUGCUCCUGUGCUGACAAUGAGGACAUGGACUGUAUCCUCCCAUCUCUGAGCAGUGUCAAUGGCAACUUGACAGUUAUCGAAAGGCUUCAGCCUUGUACUUGGCUGUGUUUAUGUUCAGCCAUCUUAAAACCUGGGCAUUUAUAGCACAUUUCAAUAGCAGCAGCUCUAAGAAUGCGAUAGUAACUGUUUAACCUGGCAGAGCCUUGGGUACGCCUGGUGUGAUAUUGCAAAUGGCACCUUCAACGUCAUAUAGAGCUAAUUAAAGACUAGGUGAUACUUGGGAUUCUUACAGGAACAAACAUGAGAAUCCUAGAGUUUAUAAUUUCAGAAUAAUCAGUAGGGUGUAUAAUUCACUGUCAAUUUAUAGUACCCUGUGCCCUAGUUUUCUUUCUCCUUUCCUAGUUUUAGGAAAGAAUUUUCAAAGAAAAUCUUUUGCUUAUUGCUGACACCAUAAAUUCAUGUAUGCCUAUAAACAUAAAAAAAUGUACUUCAAGAAGAGGUUGGGAUUAUCUUAAAAAUGGGUGCUAUGUGAAGAAACACAAGAUACAUGAGGUUAAAGGUACAGUGUGAGAGAAAACCAGACUGGUGGUAAAGGCAGACACACUAGGAGAUAUAUGUAAAGAAUAUAUGAGAGACAAAGUGUAUCAACCUGUGGGAGGAAGAAAAGGAAGCUUUCACAGAGGAAGUGGCAUUUGUUACAGAGCUAGCUUGAAAGAUACAUAUGUGCUUGCCAGACUGACAGAAUUCUCAGUAUGUUAAAACAUGCGAGUCCCGAUAUUGAACCCUGCUGGGAAAGUAUAAGAAAGGCUGUGUGACUUGGAGGGUAGAAGCAGCUUAAGAGUUUUAAAUUCCACUUGUUUUCUCCAGUUGUGUUUGAUGGUUAUAAGACAGAUAAUACAAUCAGAAAACCCACUUUGAAAUAGGGAACGUAUUAGACAGUCUUUCUUUUCGGAGAAGACAUUAGUGAAAUAUUAUUUAUCAAGCAUACAAGAGGAGGGCUGAGGUGACAAGUUAGUGGGUAAAUGCUUGCCUUGCAAGUAUGAGGUCCUGAUUUUGAUUUCUCAGAUCUCAGGCUAAAGCAGACAGACAGACAGACAAACAAAAUUAGCAAAACCAGAAAACAGCUAAGUUCGGUGGCAUAUACUUGAAAUACCAGCACUGGGCAAGUGCAGACACAAGGAACUCUAGGGCUUGCUGGUCUACCUUACUUGGCAAGUCCCAAGCCAGUGGACAAUUUAUAAGUCCUCUUAAGUGUUCAAAUGAAGGGGAGAGUGGCACACAUGUUACUUUAAAUCAAAAGUAUAAAUGGUAGAGUGAAGAAGAUAAACUAAAAGCUGAGAUAAGCUGAAAGCUAGGUUCUUGUAAGAAUCAUGUCUACUGUUUGAGCUCACACACACACAAAAUGUUCCAGGAAGCAAGACAGGGGCAAAGGGGAAAUAAAACAGCCUCAUCGCUGACACGAAUGAUACAGUGGUCUGCAUUUGAAGGCCAGACGAAUCCAGUAUUGUCUUAAGGUAAUUUUUUGGGUUGUUGUUGAAAAUAGAUUUUUUUCAUAUUAUAUAUUCUGUUCAUGAUUUUUACCUCCGCUGACUGAUUCUCCCAGCCUUCCCACCCAUCCUAAUUAACACCCUUACUAAAUAGAAAACAAGAAGGCAACUAAAAAGUAAUACAAAACAAAACCCACAGAUAAACCAGAAUAGUAUAAAAUAAGCAAACAAAAAUAAGAGACAAAGAUAAAGCUAAAGAAAUACAUACAGCUGUGAAGACAUGGGUUUAUGCAUGUGUGUGGGUCUGCACAUGUCACAGUAUGUGGAGGUCAGCAAGUCGCCCCAUGUGCCAUAUACUAACAGCUGUGAGGAUAUGAGGACAAUAUAGUUGUAUGGAAAUUUCCAGUGGAGUAUAGCUCUUUUACUGUUUUGGAGUUGAAAGCCCCUUCAGCUCUUUCAAUCCUUUCUCUAAUUCCUCCAACAGGGGUCCUGUUCUCAGUUCAGUGGUUUGCUGUUAACAUUCACCUCUGUGUUUGACAUGCUCUGGCUGUAUCUCUCAGGAGACAUCUAUAUUUAGAUUAGAUUUGUUGGAAACUUCUCUUUCUGGAGAGGUCUGUAUAGGUAUUGUUUAGUGUAGAAUAUCAGUUGUGCAAUACAAGGUCAACUUCAUAUUGACAGUGCACUUGGAUGCUUAUAUAACUCAGGGGUGGGAUAAUGGCAACAGUAUAUACAUAGGACAUACUGUUUAAGAUGCAUUUAUUUUAAGUUGUGCAUGUUUGUGUAAAGAAUGUCAAUGUCUGCAGAAGCCAGAAGAUGAUGUUACUUUCUGUUUUGCAUGUCUGGAGUUAAGGGUUGGUUGAGUCGUUCACUGUAGGUUGCUGGGAACCAAACUGGGUCUUCUGCAAGAACAGUAUGUACUCUUAACUGCUGAGCCAUCCUUUGAGCUCCUGUAGUUGAUAAUAUUUAGACUUCUUGCUCUAAGCAUUCAUUUGACAACCAUACAAUCAUUUAGGCUAGGUAUGAUAAAAGUCAUUUUUUCUUUUCUUUCUUUUCUUUCUUUCUUUCUUUCUUUCUUUCUUUCUUUCUUCUUUUUUUUUGCUUUACACAUUUCAUGAAGCUAUACUUGACAAGUGAAAAAUUAUAAUUACAUAGAUUUUUAUAAAAUUUGUAAUCUGCUUUUUAUAUAUGUGUAGCUCAUGAAACAAACUAAGAUAACUACCAUGUUUAUUAUUUCCUAUAAUAUUAAUUCCUAUAAUAUACUUGGUAUGGGGUAAGGGCAUCUAUAAUCUUCUCUCUGAAUUUUCAUGUAUAUAAUACACUAUUAUUAACAAUGGCCACAUUGAAUAGAGAUGACAAGUGUAUACCUCUGUCUAAAUGAAACUUUUUUUCCCCUCAUUCUCCAUUUCCCCUAUCUCACAGCACCCCUGGUACUCAUCGCCUGCAUAUUAUUUCCAAGUUUAGCUUUUUAAUAGUCUAAAUAGUAGCAAAAUUAUGUUUAUUUUAAAAAAUAUGUUUUUCUCUUUCCUUAUGUAAUUCAGGCUAGUCUGAAACCUAUAGUCAUCCUGCCUUAGCCUCCUGAGACCUGGGUUUGUAGGCACGCAUCAUUACUACAAAGAGAGUUUUAUCAGUACACAGCUGUGGCAGUUUGGCUGCGACAGUUUUCAAACUACAGUGACAAUUGAAUACUUGUGACCACAUUUUCCAGAAAGUCAAAAAUAGGAACCCUCUGGAUUUAGAAGAACAAACUUACUGACCCCUGUUGGCAGCACAUCAACAUUUGAGAAUACUGAGACUCUCCCUCAGUAGAAUAUUUCAGGGUGAAUGCUGCUUUGAUAAUUCUGCCUUUAGAUCAUAUCUAAAAAUAGGUUAAGCUCUUCUGGGUGAGGAGAUUAAGAAUAGGACAUUCAUGUUAUUCAUUUUCUUUGGCCAGGAAGCUCCUCCCAUGUUCUUGAAGACCCUCCUUCCUCCUCUCAUUUGGCUCCCCUUUUCUAUCAGCAUCUUUAUGGGGAUGCAUUCUGUAUGCUGCACUGUGUAAAUUAGUCCACUGGUUCACAUGAACAUGCUUGCCUGCUCCAUAUUUCCCACCUCUGUGCUCAGUUUAAGACUUAGAUGGCAGACUUUCUCUGUGUUCAUCCCAUUACAUGUCUGUUUGGCUAGUUUCCUUAAAAUAGCACUUUCACUGUCAUCAUCAGAAACCCCCAGACAACAGAGCAUUGUAGUGAAAAUGGUGGCACCAUUGAACAAACCCAAGUCUCGAUUCCUUAGCACUUGAUUACCCAGGUUAGUGUGAAGAUACUCAGUUCUGUAAACUUCCCAGAUGUCCGUUAAUUCCGUUGUACAAGAGGGAAGACCAUUACCCAAAUUCCUUGGUCAGACUAACCAAGCUCUAUUUUCUGUCAGACAGAGCUAUCUCUCUAAAAUGGGCUUGUGAGUAUAGGAUAUAACACAGGAGAAGAGAGGGGAAAACUACAAGGUUAGGGAGUUUCCAAGGGCCGAGAGAUUUCCGGGAGGAUUGUGAUUUUUGUAGGAGCUUGACGGACAUUUCAAAAUUAUUUGGCAGAACAUCUCAUCAGGAUGGGAAGCAUGUCGAACAGGUUAAAGCAUGGUCAACUUGAACUUUGAAGGAAACAGAAAUGACCUUGUUUUGACCUUGUAACAAAAUGGCUUGCAUCGUUAACAUGGAGUAAGGCUGGUCCAUCGAUGUCUUCAUAGCAGAAAGCAAAAGAAAAUGAACGUUGAAUGUAUAUACGCAGAAGAUACUUCUGCUUUUCUGAAAGAAACUGACUUUUAAAUACUCUACUUAUCCAAGUAUUUUUUAAAAGCUGCUUUUUUAAAAAGAAUUUUUCAUUGAAAAAUAUUUUCCAUAUAGUAUAUUCCAUGCACACUUUCUCCUCUCGUAUCUCCUCCAAAAUCACUGCCCCUCACUUCCCCUUACCCAACUCUAUACCUUCUUCCUCUCUUUCUUUAGAAAACAAAUAGGCAAAUUGAAAAAAGACAAAAGGCCCCUAUACAUAGACAUGUAUUCAGACAGACAGACAGACAUAAACCCCCAAAACAAAGCCCAUAAAACACAAAACAGAAACUCCAAUAGAAAAGUAAUGUUAAAAAGUGCAGAAGCAACUGAAGCCACUUCUUCAUAAAGCCACCUGAAGGACCUUUUACAAAACUUAUAAAGCUGGGGAAAUUUGUUGUCUGUCAGUAUUAGUCCAAGAAGAACAGCGCAGACAUUUUCAGAAUCUGUCUUAAGAAGAAGCCAGGAGUUAAUAAACAAUCUGGAGAACCGAGCAGGUCCAAGUUUUCUGUCUUAAUUAUAGCAUUACGAGUGUGCACUGUAACACUUACAUUACCUUGAUGAAUAUUUUCUCGAGGAGUCCAUAAUGUACAUUUAACAGUAAGCAGAUUGCUAUCACCAACAGUGUCAUUUCUCCUUAGAAACGUAACACAGUUUUGUGAGGAAACGGAUCGAUACAAACACCACACAGCAUCUACGCAUUUUCUGUAGCAUGUGUUUUAAACGCAUUUCUUUAUGGUGUUUCGAAGACACAGCAGAAAGGAAAGCAGCGAAGGUGCUCAGCUCUGUCAAUGUUCGGUGUGUCUGGUCUUCUGUAGAUGGCAGCCAAACUACAGAGAUUCACAAUGUGUUCUUGGAUGCCACACUGAGCAAGCUCAGCUUCCACGGUGGUUGAUUGCUUGUCACUGUCUUCAAAUAAUGAUGAUGGGAAUAUUGAACUCAGGGAAGCGACAGAGCUGCGAUCCAAUGGAAGGGACUAGAGCAAACGAUGCUCGUCAUAUGGCUGCCCACUGGGACAAGUAGGCAAAGGACGUGCAGGGCCUAGGGAAGGUAACAGAACAUCAGAUUCAAGGACAAAAAUAUGAUGUCAUCCGAUGUUGACAGCUAUCACAAGGUUGUGUUUUUAGCUCAGACUUAGAAACCUGGGCCAGUUCAUAUUUGAAGAGGAAUAGAUAUUUGGUAGCAUGUGAACACAGAUUUUGUAUGAGGAAAAAUAUGCAAGCACUAGGAUUCUUUAUGAAAAGCAUCUGAAUGCCCCUAAAAUACAAUUAAAAGUAAAAUCUCACUAAUGUAUCAGUUUCAGAAAACCCCAGUGCAAUGCCAGAUUACACGCAAUCUGGGAUUCCUGCUCUUUAACUAAAAAAUGAUCGUGCUUUAAGAUAAGAAUGUUUGUCUUUUCUGGACCUGGCCAAGCAGGAGACACCAUCAUGGCUGUUGACAUUCGCCACAAGGACUUAAAGGUUCUGUUCAAGGAACCCAAGAGCCAGGACAUCGACAUACAAGCUGUACAGGUUUCUGGCCAGACGGACCAACUCCACUUACAGUAAGGUGCUGAAAAGGUUAUUUAUGAGCCACACUAACUGACCACCUCUGUCCCUGUCCCGAAUGAUCCAAAAGAUGAAGCUUCCUGGCUGGGAGAACAAAACUGCUGUGGUUGUGGGGAUGGUCACAGAUGAUGUGCGGAUUCUGGAAGUGCACAGGCUGAAGGUGUGUGCACUGAGGGGGAGCACCGGGCCUGAAGUCGGAUCCUCAAGGUUGAGGGUAAGAUCCUCACCUUCAACCAGUUGGCCCUUGAGUCUCCCAAGGGACGAGGCACCGAGCUCCUUUCUGGUCCUCGGAACGGUAGAGAGAUGUACUGACACUUUGGCCAGGCCCCAGGAACUCCGCACAGCCACACCAAACCCUAUGUUCGUUCCAAGGAAGUUCGAGCAUGCCAGAGGUUGAAGGGCCAGCUGAGUCUACAGAAACUAAUCCUGGCUUUUACUGUUAAUAAAAAAUAGCUUUGGAUGUUAAAAAAGAAUGUUUACGGCUCAGAUUUAAAAUAAAUUUUUGUUUGUUAGUCUUGAGGAAAACCAAUUCUCUCUCACACACUUAACAGAUACACAUUUAUAGUUUUUGAGAUAGGAUCUUGUCAUGAAGCUCACUCAGGUUUGAGCUCUUGACUCUCUGUCGAGUGUGGUGAUGAUUUGCAUGCAAGGCACACUUUAACUUUUGUUCAGUUUGUUUUAAGACAGGAUCACACUAUGUAGAUUAGGCUGGCCGGGAACUUGUUAUGUAGACGGGAAUGGACUUUUGCACUGUCCUUUCUACCUCUGCCUCCAGAAUGUUGUGAAUACACUUGUGUACUACUACGACCAUCAUGCAAAUUGGCUCUUUCUUUUAAAAUUUAUCUUGUGUUAUGUGUAUGAAUGUUUUACUGGUGUAUAUGUAUGUGCACCACAGUGGUUUACCAACCAUGCUCACAAUCGCAGCAAGGCUGACUUUAAAGGUCAGACUGUUUUUGAUUCUCUACCCAGGUCCUAGUAUUUAUCUUUCACCAGAAGAAUGAAAUUCCCAUCUUUUUUUAAAGAAUGAGAUAUAAAGGAACGCAAACACUGGCCAUUUGGAAAAUAUAGCUGUAUCACAUGAGAAAGUUUUUAUUUUAUUUUUUGAAAAAGAGCAAUAGGAAGUUGGAAGAAGAAAUUAAAUAACAAUGAAUGUUGUUCUGUGGGGAAUGUUACAGGCUUAGGUAGGAAGUUCUCUGAAAAAUGAAAAAGGCAAACAAGAAAUUUCACCCUGCUAAUAUAGGUGUCAUGCUCCGGGCGAUGAAAAUAAAUCACCAGCUCUGAUAUCGAGGGGAAAAAUGCCAAAUAGCUACAAAUGAUCAUAAUAUUUGUUUUAUUUCUACAAUUUGAAAAACAAAGUUUGAGAAAGGGAGGUAGACUAUUGUUUUUGUUGCCCGGCUCCCCUCAGGAGCCAUUAACGGGGAACAAAAAGAUAGAUAUUUGCCCCUGAAUUUUUUCUGUACAGAAAGGAUUGCAACAUUCGUUUAAGAUGGUGGUUCUGGAGCAGGUGAGAUCAGCAGGUAUCUUUCAUGGCAAUUAUAUCUUUCUUCCAAAGCAAGGUGACUGAAAUGGAGUUAAAAGGGUAAGGUUUGAGAAUGCUAGGAUGUGGAAAGAGCAGUGUGUGCGAAUACAUCUGAGCAUGAAGGCCAGAGGUCAGUUCCGGAAAGGUCUGCCUUGCUAUUUUAAACACCGUCUCUUAUUGGGAGUCAAUUAGAUUAGUCUUAUUAGGGAUCACACAGAUUAGCCCAGGCUGGCUUCCCAGCAAGUCCCUGAGAAAGCUACGCCUCUGUACUUCCAACAUUUAGAAUGACAAGCAUAGGCCAAGGUCCGCUUUCCUUAUGGGUGUUAUGUAUGCAUCGCAGAUCCUCAUGGAUUACUUGACCAACUGAGCCAUUGUCCCAGACUCUAAGGAUCCAGUUUGAAAUGACAUAGACUGUGACAACUACUGGCACUGCUGAAUACACAUGAGAAAGCGUUACUUGGUAAUUUGGAUAAUAGCAGGUGGAGAGCUACUGGAAAGAGGAGAGCCCUGACACAGGGUUGAAGGUGCAGCCAAGCUCCACUUGUGAGGCACAGGGUGGAACCCAACAUAAGAUGGUAGGACCCUUGACAUACAAGAGGUACAUGGACACAAAGGUGGCAGUGCGAGUGGACCAGGACUUGAGCCUGAAAUGAUUGAUCUUCCUCUCUGUCCAGUGAUGUGUAUUCUGCAGACUGGCAUCAUGCAUCCAAAAGAGGCGAAUGCUAGCAGCAAGCCAUUGAACUGAGAACAGGAUCCCUACUGGAGGAAUUGGAGAAAGGAUUGAAGGAGCUGAAGGGUUUACAACCCCAUAAGAACAACAAUGCCAACCAACCAGAGCUUCCAGGGACUAAACCACUACCCAGAGACUAUACAUGGACUGACCCAUAGAUCCAACUGCAUAUGUAGCAGAGAAUGGCUAUGUUGGGCACCAAUGGAAGGAGAAGCCCUUGGUCCUUGGUUGGACCCUCCAGUAUAAGGGAAUGGGGG
ensembl:lncRNA